rnacentral:rRNA from 1 species
UACGGAGGGGGCUAGCGUUGUUCGGAAUUACUGGGCGUAAAGGGCGCGUAGGCGGCUUAACAAGUCACUUGUGAAAUCUCCGGGCUUAACUCGGAACGGCCAAGUGAAACUGUCAAGCUAGAGUGCAGAAGGGGCAAUCGGAAUUCUUGGUGUAGCGGUGAAAUGCGUAGAUAUCAAGAGGAACACCUGAGGUGAAGACGGGUUGCUGGGCUGACACUGACGCUGAGGCGCGAAAGCCAGGGGAGCAAACGGG